AUUAAAGUUGUUGCAGUUAAAACGCUCGUAGUCGGAUUUCGGGGCGGGCCGACCGGUCUGCCGAUGGGUAUGCACUGGCCGGCGCGUCCUUCCACCCGGAGACCGCGCCUACUCUUAACUGAGCGGGCGCGGGAGACGGGUCUUUUACUUUGAAAAAAUCAGAGUGUUUCAAGCAGGCAGUCGCUCUUGCAUGGAUUAGCAUGGGAUAAUGAAAUAGGACUCUGGUGCUAUUUUGUUGGUUUCGAACACCGGAGUAAUGAUUAACAGGGACAGUCAGGGGCACUCGUAUUCCGCCGAGAGAGGUGAAAUUCUCAGACCAGCGGAAGACGAACCACUGCGAAAGCAUUUGCCAGGGAUGUUUUCACUGAUCAAGAACGAAAGUUAGGGGAUCGAAGACGAUCAGAUACCGUCGUAGUCUUAACCAUAAACCAUGCCGACUAGGGAUUGGAGGAUGUUCCAUUUGUGACUCCUUCAGCACCUUUCGGGAAACUAAAGUCUUUGGGUUCCGGGGGGAGUAUGGUCGCAAGGCUGAAACUUAAAG
rnacentral:rRNA from 1 species